CCAGGGUUAAGACUUCAACAUAUCUUUUGGGGGGAUACAAUUCAACCCACAAAAGAUGGCAAAUAGCUUUUCUAUCGAUGCGGCCCUGGUGGGUUCUGAGGAUUGAUGGAUGUUGUCUGCCAUGGACUUUGCAGGAAGAAGUGGCCACACAUGUUGCUGUCUGUGCUCCUGCAACAAAUCCAUCUCCUGGCUAUUAAGGCUGACAUAGCCUCUGUGGCCCAUGGGCUCCAGCAGGUGGAGCAGAGAUGCUGUCACCUUGGUCACUGGUUCCUGGCUCCUAGGGCAAGUCAGUGGUUCCUCCAGGAUCAAAAGCGUGCAAAGGAAGCCCGCAACACAGAGGGCAUCAACAAUCUCCUACGGACUCCAUCUCCUCCUCUCCCGUCUCUACAGACCUCAAGCCCUCUCAGGGCAGCCGCCAGUAGCUUACUGCCAAAUACAUGCUUUUCCAUGUAUUUUCUUACUUGACCUUUCUGUACUUUUUUGCUGAUGGGUGUCAGUCUGAAUGGUUGACCACAUGGGUCUUGGAAUUGGAUGGGUCUGAAUCCCAGCUUUCACAUACCAGCUGUGUGGCUUUGGACAAGUACCUCAAUUUUUCUGAACCUCUGUUUCAUCCUCUGUGAAAUGGGGCUAAUCAGAGUAGCUAUCUAAUAAGGCAACUAAGAUUAAAAUAAGCACGUAACAGGUGCUCACUAGAUGACAGGUCACUCCCCUUCUAGAAAGCUUCCCUUCUUUUAUCCAUCUCCUUGGUCAGAAUCUGCAGACUGAUUCCGGGACUGGCUGGCCUGUAAAACUGCCCAGUUUUUGCAGGCUUUGCACCCUGGUUUUGCAGGUGCCCUGGAAGAGUCUCUCGGUGCUGCUGCUGUUCUUCACCAUCCUGGCACUAGGCAUCGCCUUCUUGUCUACCUUCCUGGGCUUCCAUGCCACCUUCUGCUACACCCAGCUGGUGAGUGGGUUGGCAAGGUCUCUGCAGGACAGGCAGGCCCUCACUCGAUCCCCAGAGCCUGGACAGGGGAGCCGAGGGAGGAGGGACAACAAGAGGGCUGUGUGGGGAGUGGCAGGCAGAACCCCUCCUGCCAUCCUAAACCAUCUGUACCAUGGCCGUGCUGAGCCCCACUUGGUCUACACUGGGGAGAUGCUGUCUUGAAGGACAUGUGAGAACAGGGAGGUGGCUAGGGAAGAAGAUGUUUACAAAAGCUUAUAGCUCAGCACCAAGGUAGAACUGACUAGGACAAGUGCCGCAUGGUGCCGCCAGAUUCUGGUGGUGGCAGCCGAUGCUGCAGGAAGGAAGGGCAGCGGUGAGGCUUCUGGAUCCUGGCUGACAACUAUAGCCUUACAUGCGCUGGGAGACGGUGGUUACAGCAGCUCCCUCCAUCAAGGGGCUUCCACAAGCUCCUUCCCCCGACCCUCAUGACAGGCCUGAAGGGGCAGGGAAGAGACUGACCACGUGUCACAGAUGAGGAAACUGAGGCCCAGAGAACUAAGGUGACCUGGCUGAGAUCACAUCCAUCCCCAGAAUCCAGGUACGACUCCCGGGCAACCUUCUCCUCAGGGAAGACCAGAGCUACAAGAAGGACUCAGCCCAAAGCACAAGGUCUGGGGGCUCAGGCUACCACCACGUGGUCUGUGGAGGGCUGUGGGCAGAGAGGAAAGCCUGGAUCGCCAGAGAAAGCACAGAAGGAAAACCUAAAAGGAUCACAGGGUCACAUGGGCUGCUUCUGGGCUGACUAAAGGCGAGUGGCCUUGGCCCUUCCUUCUUCUCCCGACUCCAGUACCUGAACCCAGCUCAGGAACUUCCCACGGCCACAGCAGCCACUCCCAGGAUCCACCCACCAGGCCCCACAGCCCCCAGCCACAGCCUGCACUCAAGGCAUCUGCUGAUCCUGGGAGCUGAGCUCCUCCCAGCAUCUGACCUCUGGGGCUCUGCGAUCUUCCCCUUCUCCUGGCUGCAGGGUUGGCCUUCCCUUUGUAACACCCAGCCCCAGAGGUCACUACCCCCAUCCUCAUACACACCCCAGCAUGGAGAUGGGUCUGCUCUUUCUGUCUAAGAAACAUCCCUCAAUGUCGCUGUUUUGCUGUCAACAAAAAGUUGACAUGUGGCUUGGGUCACAUCCACCAGGAUUUAGUGACUAAAGUUGCAUAUCUUGUCCGUGUGUGUGCACAGCAGGG
rnacentral:lncRNA from 1 species